UACGGGGGGGGCAAGCGUUGUUCGGAAUUACUGGGCGUAAAGGGCUCGUAGGCGGCCAACUAAGUCGGAUGUGAAAUCCCCAGGCUUAACCUGGGAACUGCAUCCGAUACUGGAUGGCUUGAAUCCGGGAGAGGGAUGCAGAAUUCCAGGUGUAGCGGUGAAAUGCGUAGAUAUCUGGAGGAAUACCGGUGGCGAAGGCGGCAUCCUGGACCGGCAUUGACGCUGAGUGAGCGAAAGCUAGGGGAGCAAACGGG
rnacentral:rRNA from 1 species